CCCUUUAUUACGUAAAAUUGAAACCUGCUUUAAAAAAUCAUUUUUUUAGAAAACAUUUAAACUUUUUCCUUAAAAAAAAAAAACUUAAAGUUUUGAAACUUUUCUCCUUCACUUUCUCCUCUUUUCCUCUUCUUCGACAGACCCACCAUUUUGAGCCAAAAUUCGACUUCAAAGGUUUCUCUUGUGCCACGUCGUUGCAGGUAUGGUGAACGUGGGGCGUGGGUCGUGCUACAAGCGUGGAGGGGUGCAGCAGCUAUUCUCUUUUUUGCUGAAAAGUUAGUUUAGUUUUGGGCUGUUUGGGCUCUAAGAUUAGGUUUAUUUUGAGCUUAUAAUUGGGUUUGUUGUUUUUGUAAUUUUGGACUCUCUUUAAAUUUUUUUUGGGGGUUUUAUUUAUUGGGCUGGAGUUAAGUAGCCCAAGCUAAAAUUGGGUCUUACAAUUUAAGAAUAAGUUUCAAAACUUGAAGAUCACGUCUUGAGAACUUGUUCUUCUAGAACAAAACUUUGGUAACUUUGCUUGUUUUGAGA